rnacentral:misc_RNA from 1 species
AAGUCGUAACAAGGUAUCUGUAGGUGAACCUGCAGAUGGAUCAUUAACACAUCCUUAUUUACCUAACACACAUUUUAUUUUUAAAACCUCAGCGAUGGAUAUCUCGGCUCUU